AUCCUGUAGUCUAUAAAUAAACAUUAGAUAAAAAAAUCAGUAUAAAUAUCAAUUGCGCCGUAUGCUUAUUUAGUAUUGUAAACAAGCUUUCGCUAAACAGAGCUCGUUGUCCAAGUAUUUUCAUCACUCUUAAAAAUCACAAUGGAUCGUCCAGGAUCAAACUACCCCGGCAACUGGAGCUAUGGUCAAUCCAACUACAUGGUUCGUGGACCUGCCAAGCCCAUGUAUCAGCCCCACCCUGGCUAUGGAGCCCCUGCACAGCCCCAGGUCGCGUUCCAACCAAACGCUUGUUUCAUGCCCGCAGCCAAUCUUCGCAAAAUCAGCAAUACAAUACCACCAACGCGAUUUUUCGAUUCCAAUGCUCAUUAAGCGAACGAUAUUGUGCUAAGGAAAUGGAAUCUCGGCUGUUUUUUGAUACGGCUAUUGUUUAAGUAUAGGAAUAUUGUACACUUUAUUGUUUGUUAAUUUAUUUAAUAAUAAAAAUCUUAUAAUUAAUGUA